GACUAAAGACAAUCCCGCUGGUGGUUCAGUCUUUGCCGAUGGUCUAUACAAGUUUGCCUGCAGAUGGGAGCCCUGCAGCCAUUACUGUCCCACUUAUUGGAGGAGAUGGCAAAAGUGCUGGAUCAGUCAAAGUUGACCCCGCCUCCAUGUGUCCACUGGAGUUUCCAAGUGAUAGUGAUGAGAGUGCAAUUGAGAGUGGCUCUUCAGCCUUACAGAGUCUGCAGGGAUUUCAUCAUGAACCAGCGACAAUGGUCCACAUGCAGGGAGAAGAAUCUCUUGACUUAAAGAGAAGACGGAUUCAUCAGUGUGACUUUGCAGGAUGCAGCAAAGUGUACACCAAAAGCUCUCACCUGAAAGCUCACCGCAGAAUCCAUACAGG
rnacentral:lncRNA from 1 species